GAGGUUGUGGCUCAGUGGUAGAGCACUUGCUUAGCACUCGUGAGACACUGGAUUCGAUUCUCAGCUAUAUCA
rnacentral:tRNA from 1 species